AUGAAGUGUAGCCCUGAAUUUGGCACAGACCGGACUUCGGAGUGCCAGAGUGUGUGUGUUUAGUGCUUUGGUGUGUUUGUAUUCUAUUGACAGCACUUGGGAGUGUCAACGAGUGAAAGCUGCGCGGGCAUCGUGUGYUGUGUGAAUGGCGGAUGACUAGGCUAGGCUCGGUACAAAAAUCGGUCACCUGUUCGCACGGCAGACUUUACCCAGUGAGGGAGUGUGUACGGAAAUUCAGUAACAGGCAGCUGGCAAGCGAAUCUAACAGCGGAACGGGGGYGCCUCGAGCUGUCAAGCGCGAGCCGAUCGCUGAAGCGCGCCAGGGUUAUAGGCUAGAUUCCCACUGAUACUGCUGCUGCCAUGGAGAGGAGGGAGUAUCCAGUCGGCGAAGUCCUCAUCAUUCCAAUGACGUCGACUUCACCUUCACCCCAGGACUCAGCUCGACCCCAAGCCCUUCCCCUCCAGCCCUCUUCCCCUCCUGUCUCCUCCCCUCCACCCCCCCGUUCUCUGUCUAAUCCCCAGCUCCAGGCUGAGUUUCUGAGGAGAGCUCCCAGAGCUGCCUCCCCUGACAACGACUCGGCUAGAUCCCAAAUCCUUCCCCUCCAGCCCUCUCCCCCCACCUCUGUGGCCCCCCGCUCCUCCCUUCCUCCCCCUCUUUCCUCCCC